rnacentral:rRNA from 1 species
UACGUAGGUGGCAAGCGUUGUCCGGAUUUACUGGGCGUAAAGAGCGCGCAGGCGGUCAGAUAAGUCGAAUGUGAAAGCCCCCGGCUCAACUGGGGAGGGUCAUUCGAUACUGUUCGACUCGAAGGCAGGAGAGGGAAGUGGAAUUCCCGGUGUAGUGGUGAAAUGCGUAGAUAUCGGGAGGAACACCAGUGGCGAAGGGCGACUAUCUGGGCUGCAACUGACGCUGAGGCGCGAAGGCUAGGGUAGCAAACAGG